rnacentral:tRNA from 1 species
GGAAGAGUGGCCGAGCGGUUUAAGGCACCGGUCUUGAAAACCGGCGAUGGGCGACCAUCCGUGGGUUCGAAUCCCACCUCUUCCGCCA